rnacentral:rRNA from 1 species
GACGAACGCUGGCGGCGUGCUUAACACAUGCAAGUCGAACGGAAAGGCCCUGCUUUUGUGGGGUGCUCGAGUGGCGAACGGGUGAGUAACACGUGAGUAACCUGCCCUUGACUUUGGGAUAACUUCAGGAAACUGGGGCUAAUACCGGAUAGGAGCUCCUGCUGCAUGGUGGGGGUUGGAAAGUUUCGGCGGUUGGGGAUGGACUCGCGGCUUAUCAGCUUGUUGGUGGGGUAGUGGCUUACCAAGGCUUUGACGGGUCGCCGGACUGAGAGGGUGACCGGCCACAUUGGGACUGAGAUACGGCCCAGACUCCUACGGGAGGCAGCAGUGGGGAAUAUUGCACAAUGGGCGGAAGCCUGAUGCAGCAACGCCGCGUGCGGGAUGACGGCCUUCGGGUUGUAAACCGCUUUCGCCUGUGGCGAAGCGUGAGUGACGGUAAUGGGUAAAGAAGCACCGGCUAACUACGUG